GUCGAGCGGUAGAGAGAAGCUUGCUUCUCUUGAGAGCGGCGGACGGGUGAGUAAUGCCUAGGAAUCUGCCUGGUAGUGGGGGAUAACGCUCGGAAACGGACGCUAAUACCGCAUACGUCCUACGGGAGAAAGCAGGGGACCUUCGGGCCUUGCGCUAUCAGAUGAGCCUAGGUCGGAUUAGCUAGUUGGUGAGGUAAUGGCUCACCAAGGCGACGAUCCGUAACUGGUCUGAGAGGAUGAUCAGUCACACUGGAACUGAGACACGGUCCAGACUCCUACGGGAGGCAGCAGUGGGGAAUAUUGGACAAUGGGCGAAAGCCUGAUCCAGCCAUGCCGCGUGUGUGAAGAAGGUCUUCGGAUUGUAAAGCACUUUAAGUUGGGAGGAAGGGCAGUUACCUAAUACGUAUCUGUUUUGACGUUACCGACAGAAUAAGCACCGGCUAACUCUGUGCCAGCAGCCGCGGUAAUACAGAGGGUGCAAGCGUUAAUCGGAAUUACUGGGCGUAAAGCGCGCGUAGGUGGUUUGUUAAGUUGGAUGUGAAAUCCCCGGGCUCAACCUGGGAACUGCAUUCAAAACUGACAAGCUAGAGUAUGGUA
rnacentral:rRNA from 1 species